AGUCGAACGAGAAAGUGGAGCAAUCCAUGAGUAAAGUGGCGUACGGGUGAGUAACACGUGGGUAAUCUACCUUUUGGUGGGGAAUAACCCUGGGAAACCGGGGCUAAUACCGCAUAAUCUCGCGAGAGGAAAGGAGCAAUUCGCCGAAAGAGGAGCCCGCGGCUGAUUAGCUAGUUGGUGAGGUAAUGGCUCACCAAGGCUUUGAUCGGUAGCCGGCCUGAGAGGGCACACGGCCACACUGGCACUGAAACACGGGCCAGACUCCUACGGGAGGCAGCAGUGGGGAAUCUUGCACAAUGGGGGCAACCCUGAUGCAGCGACGCCGCGUGAGUGAUGAAGCCCCUCGGGGUGUAAAGCUCUUUCGGCAGGGACGAUAAUGACGGUACCUGAAGAAGAAGCUGCGGCUAACUACGUGCCAGCAGCCGCGGUAAUACGUAGGCAGCGAGCGUUGUUCGGAGUUACUGGGCGUAAAGAGUGCGUAGGCGGUUUUCUAAGUUUGGUGUGAAAUCUCCCGGCUUAACUGGGAGGGUGCGCCGAAAACUGGAAGGCUUGAGUAUGGGAGAGGUAAGCGGAAUUCCUGGUGUAGCGGUGAAAUGCGUAAAUAUCAGGAGGAACACCUGCGGUGUAGACGGCUUACUGGACCAUCACUGACGCUGAGGCACGAAAGCGUGGGUAGCAAACAGGAUUAAAUACCCUGGUAGUCCACGCCCUAACGAUGCAAACUUGGUGUGGGUAGUUCAUUCUAUCCGU
rnacentral:rRNA from 1 species